GCAGAGAUGACAAGGAGGAAGUGGAGGUGUCACAGCUCGCACGCUCGCAGCUGGGUGCUGGGUGCUGGGCCGCGUGACGAGACGCCACACACCUGGUGGAGGAAACAAGCCCACACACUCGGCAGCGGGGUGAGAAGAGGCCGACGAGCGCAGGGCGACAGACGCAGUCACACCCAGGACAGAUGUCCUGCGUCUCGCUGGGACACUCAGACAAAGGCAGCCGAUUUCAACACUGGAAGCAUUCAAUGGCCCGCGAGACCCACGCAAAGUCCUUCGCAGGUUCGCUGGGAGCGCCACUGCUCGCAUUUUUCACAUUCUCAAAAGCAAACAGAAGAAUACUGAACGGGAGGGGACGAACCAAUCAGAGAUGAACAUCUCCCAUUCUCUCCACGGAUUCGUUGCCUACGCUGCCUCCGUCAGUUGUCCCCCGCCUCCAUGGGAACUGAGUGAAACCAUGCGCGACAGCACUUCUGGCUGCGUCGGCGCUUCAAGCGUCAUUUUUCCAACGUGUGAAGCUACACACACCCCUGCCUGCAGAGCCGCAUGUGUUCUACGUGGAACAAUGUAAACACCCAAGACACCAAUGACAACACUGCCCAAAGUGAUGAUGGAACAUACCAGAUCU